AUAUUUUAUAAGGGAUCUAUUUGAAAUAAUAUUAUUGUUAGAUGAUUAGUUAUCGAUCUGAUAUCUUAUAUAAUAUGAGCUGUUUUUCUUCAACAUGUUUGUGUACUAUUGGCGCAUCGUCAAGCAUCAUUUCAUUCGACUUUUUCCACGACAUUUUCACAAAUACAAAGAAAUAUUGAUCCUAGCGAAAAGAUUAUUUCUAUUUUUAUUCGAUAUUGAAGUAGUUAUUAUUUGACUAAUUUAAGGUUUUGUCGAUUUGAUAAGAAAUAAGAUUGAAGAGGAUAAAAGAGGAUUACUAUACCCCAAAUAACGAGGAAAAUAUUUUAUAAGGGAUCUAUUCGAAAUAAAGUCAUUUGUUAGAUUAGUCAUCGUAUCCUAACGGAAGUCUCAGUUUCUCUAAGAAAAAGGGAGAGGAUGAUCGUCAAAUCCUGAAGGACAUUCUGUGAUGCGCUAAAUUCUUCCCUUUCAUCGAACAACUCCUUAGGGAUCGAGAUCGAAGCCCAUGAUUUCGUGGACAUUAAUUCGAAUCACUUCCAGUAGGACGCAUAACGCUUAACCCCUUUACUUCAUCAACGAACCGUCAACGUGAUUGAGUGUCUAGAGAAGGAUUUCGAGGAUGCCAGAUUGUUGUCUACGAUGAAAUUUAAUCGACUGGGGUGUUCUUAUGAAUGGACGUCACUUCGCGCUCCAAAUCUCCAACGGCCGUUUUAGGGCUGUAAAACAAAAGGCUGAUUUAUUUCAGCACGCCCCUCAAUCUGUCUCCGCGGACCACAUUCUGAUCAGGGUUGGCUCUUCAAAAUCAACUUUCUCGAUAUAUACGACGCUAUAUAUGUGUAUAGAGUGGACCGCCGAUCGAUGUAGUUGAUCGAAUUUCCCCUUUGAAGUUGGACGGGUCAAUCGAAUUGUCUUGUUCUCGAUCAAAAACUCGUCUCGAAAGAAGAAUACGUAUACUAGCUCGUUGUAUGCGGUACGUUGCAAGAGGAGAUUCGUUAUCUGGAUCAGAUUUAAGUGCGGGUGCGUAUGAUCAUCCGCAUGGGGGCAAAGCGGGCACCCUUUUAUAGGGGGUUCGAAACGAUCGGACUUUUCUUUUGGAACAAACUGAAAAGGCUUACAUAGUAAUGGCGAGUCAUUUGCAUUCAUUGCAAAAACUUUAUUCUAGUAUCCUUUUUGAGGUUCGAUUAUCUGAUCGUCUUUGUUGUUAUAUAUGAGUUUUUGCAGAACCUUAAUUUCUAAUGGAUUAACUUUUAAAAAUCUAUUUUUCUAGAUAACGCGUCAAUCAUUUUUAUAGAAAAGUUAAAACAUUUAUGGGAAUGAUUAAAAUUAAACUUUUCUCGAAUUACUGUUUAUCAUUAAUGUAUUAAGUAUGUAACGGGGUAUAUAAAAUAAAAGGUGCAACUCUUCGGUAAUUUUAUUUCAGAGAUAGACGUGUUUUAAUUGAAAGCUAGUGCAAAUCGCUACAGGCAAUUCACGUGAUGCAAACAUUUACCGACAAGCAGUACCUGAAUCAAUAUCCUCCGGUUGUACUUAACGUUUCGUUUAGAUGGAACCCUCUCGGUACACACACGCAAUACUUCAACGUGCAGUUGCCAUUUUUUUUUUUCUUUUUUUUUUUACAGAAUGCUUUCAUUUUUAUUCAUAUUCUGUAAUGAUGACAUAUGACUCUAGAUAAUUGUUUGUUUCAUUCAGAAGAAAACAUUUGACCGUUUAUAACGCCAUGUAACUUUGAAGUUACAUACUUUUACAUAUAUUCAUACUUUUUAAGUUUUAUUUCAUUUUAUUUCAGCCAUAAGUUGAAUUUGUUACUUUAUAUUCGAAGU